CAAUUACGUAAAAAGUUAGAGGGGGUGGAAGGGACUUUUGGAUCACCCUGUGAUAUGCGUAAGAUUUCUACCGCUCAUUAGUUGCGAUAAAUCCACUCUGCACGGUUUUUCUGGUUCUUCUACUCCGAUUUAAAGGGACGGUGAUAAAGGCCGGUUCAAUUUCUUGCCAAGAGAUAUCCUCGAAAGUAACACAAGUUUCCAAUCAUAAAAACAUGCCCUGCUCUUCAGUUUCCAGCUGGACGCGCUGGUGCCAAUCACGCAGUAUUAUUCUUGUAAAAUGUAGAUUUAGAGCACUGUUGUUUCUAUGUAUGGAAUUAGUAUGAUGAUUACCUAAUAAAAAGAGUAUAUAGAAGGCUCCGAUUUCCGUAGGCCACUGUAGGAAUACAGAAGCAUCUGUUAUUUCAUAAGUUUGUAAAAAGUUCCCUGCCUCUACAUUUUUAUAGUGAUAUGAAACCUAAAACUUAUUAAACAUCGAUGUAAGUAAAUAUUUUUCUGAAUUUUUCCCGAAAUAUAAUAAACCCGAAAGAAGUAAGUUUUUUCGAACUUGAUAUACAAAAGAUAGAGACGCCAGAGAAGGGGCAGCGGAAACGGAGGACAGCGGGGGCGGGUUGGAGGGGUGAAAGGAAGGGAGGAAGAUAGGGGAGAACAUAUUAUCUAGGGAGACCAGUGGCUGCAAAUUUCUUUCAAGUUUACACAUACUAAUAAAUACACAUUGACAGUAUAUUUUUGUUCUUAAUCCUCCAAAACAUCCAAAUUUAAGUAAUUCAUUAAGUCAUCGUUUGUUGUAUUUUAUAUCAUGAUUUUCAAAUUACGCCACUAUUGUCCUUUACCCAAGAAAGCAGAAAAUAAAAUGAUGAAAUUCUUCACUUA